AUCCCAUCCCGAACUCAGUAGUGAAACGAUGCAUCGCCGAUGGUAGUGUGGGGUUUCCCCAUGUGAGAGUAGGUCAUCGUCAAGA
rnacentral:rRNA from 3 species